rnacentral:misc_RNA from 1 species
AAGUCGUAACAAGGUAACCGUAGGUGAACCUGCGGUUGGAUCAUUAGAGUAGUUUGAAAGGGAAGAAUUUGCAUAGUUUUUAAUUGUGCAAGCUUCCUCCCUUUUCUAAACAUAUUCCCCUAAUUGUACAUGUUUCCUGUUUUAUUAGACAGUCUGGCAAUUUGUAAUUGUUGGGCUGGCUAAUUGUGACUAACGCUUAUUAUCUUGUGUAAUUUUUUUUUUGCAUGCAAUGUUUCCAUUCAUAUUGUUGUUUGGUUUCUUGCAUUUUUUAUUAAUGAAUACAACUUUAGACAAUGGAUCUCUUGGCUCUC